UACGUAGGGCGCAAGCGUUGUCCGGAAUUAUUGGGCGUAAAGAGCUCGUAGGCGGUCUGUUACGUCCGCUGUGAAAACCCAGGGCUUAACCCUGGGCUUGCAGUGGAUACGGGUAGACUAGAGGCAGGUAGGGGAGAAUGGAAUUCCCGGUGUAGCGGUGAAAUGCGCAGAUAUCAGGAGGAACACCGGUGGCGAAGGCGGAUCUCUGGGCCAUUACUGACGCUGAGGAGCGAAAGCCAGGGGAGCAAACGGG
rnacentral:rRNA from 1 species